rnacentral:ncRNA from 1 species
GAGGAAGCCGGUUCGAAUCCGGCGCGGUCCCGCCACUGUGACCGCCGGCUCCAGGGCCGGCCGAGCCAGGAACUC